GCUCGAGUGGCGAACGGGUGAGUAACACGUGAGUAACCUGCCCUUGACUUUGGGAUAACUUCAGGAAACUGGGGCUAAUACCGGAUAGGAGCUCCUGCUGCAUGGUGGGGGUUGGAAAGGUUCGGCGGUUGGGGAUGGACUCGCGGCUUAUCAGCUUGUUGGUGGGGUAGUGGCUUACCAAGGCUUUGACGGGUAGCCGGCCUGAGAGGGUGACCGGCCACAUUGGGACUGAGAUACGGCCCAG
rnacentral:rRNA from 1 species